rnacentral:rRNA from 1 species
UGGGUAACCUGCCUCAAAGAGGGGAAUAGCCUCCCGAAAGGGUGAUUAAUACCGCAUAAUAUGUUUAAGUCGCAUGACUUUAACAUCAAAGGAUUUUCUUUUAAGAAAUUCCACUUUGAGAUGGACCCGCGGCGCAUUAGCUAGUUGGUGAGGAACGGCUCACCAAGGCAACGAUGCGUAGCCGACCUGAGAGGGUNAUCGGCCACAUUGGAACUGAGACACGGUCCAGCUCCGUAGG